UCCCGGCGGUCCGAGUCGCAUCCACAAUUAUUGGGUCUAAAACAUUCGUAGCUUGUUUUGCAAGUCUCUUGUGAAAUCUCAAAUCUCAAAUUUGAGGCGUGCAAGAGAUACUGCUUUGCUAGAGACCGGAAGACGCAAAGAGUAUGUUUGAGGUAGUGGUAAAAUAUGUUAAUCUUGAACAGACUAACAAUGGCGAAGGCACUUUGCGAGUACGGAUCUGACAGUGAGGAAUGAAGGCUAGGGGCGCAAAAGG
rnacentral:rRNA from 1 species